UAGGGAAUCUUCGGCAAUGGACGGAAGUCUGACCGAGCAACGCCGCGUGAGUGAAGAAGGUUUUCGGAUCGUAAAGCUCUGUUGUUAGAGAAGAACGUUGGUAGGAGUGGAAAAUCUACCAAGUGACGGUAACUAACCAGAAAGGGACGGCUAACUACGUGCCAGCAGCCGCGGUAAUACGUAGGUCCCGAGCGUUGUCCGGAUUUAUUGGGCGUAAAGCGAGCGCAGGCGGUUCUUUAAGUCUGAAGUUAAAGGCAGUGGCUUAACCAUUGUACGCUUUGGAAACGGGAGGACUUGAGUGCAGAAGGGGAGAGUGGAAUUCCAUGUGUAGCGGUGAAAUGCGUAGAUAUAUGGAGGAACACCGGUGGCGAAAGCGGCUCUCUGGUCUGUAAAUGACGCUGAGGCUCGAAAGCGUGGGGAGCAAACAGG
rnacentral:rRNA from 1 species